rnacentral:tRNA from 1 species
UAUAAUUUGGUGUAGGGUGCACUGAGGGUUUUGAUCUCUCAAGGAGGAGUUUGAGUCUUCUAUUUAUAG